rnacentral:lncRNA from 1 species
UGGGCUAAUUGUGCGCCUCCCUAUGGGACUCCCAAUCCCGGACGGUUGUGACUACAGCCUGGAAUCGAACCAGGGUCUGUGGCGACACCUCUAGCACUGAGAUGCAGUGUCUUAGACCACUGUGCCACUCGGGAGCACUGGGACAUCGGACAUCCCACUGCUCUUAUGAAAAAUGGGUUGUGAACUAAUUUGUAUAUUUUAGCCAUCCAUUCACCCAUGUCUUCCUGUCAGUACUAGUCAUGAUUCGACCAAUCGAGGAUUGUCAUUGGCUGAUAAUGGCAGCCAACAUGUCAUUGCAGCCAUUCCUGGACUUCCCUUUUCUACUGCACCAUUAUAAUUGAAAUCAUAGUACCAUGAUGGUCUUCUUAUUCACUACCAAUCAUAGGCUAUUAUGUACCGUUUUCCCAAGAGAACCCCUUUCAACAUCUAGGCUAAACUCUAACUUGAGGCGCUGAUAAAUUCUCCAUGUUGUUUAAUGUCUUCCAUGCUGUUACAUGGCUCCCUCUGGGGCUGAAAAAUGACAUCUGAUUGACACUCAUGCAGUCUUUGAUCAUGUUAGGCCUGCAGUACAAAGUGUCAGAUCUGGAAACUUACCGUUUUACCCAAAAACCCUGCCUGAGGAAAAAUACUGCUGUUUUGUGAAAUGACAUCCUAGAGAGAAGCUAUAGGAAUCAUUAGAAGAGAGACCGUGGAAUCUGAAAGCCUUAGGUUACCUUCCACACAACAACUAAUCAGCCAAAUAUCAAGAGGUUUGGCUCAUCUGCUGAAAUUGGCAAUUUGUUAAUGUGUCUGGAUACUGAAAGACAAUUUGGGGUGUUUGAGUGGAUGUUGACAGUCAGAUGGGUGUGAGAAUAGGCUAGAGGGGUGUGAGGGUAGAUGCGUGAGAGACAAUUAACUGAGAAAGGGACAUGGGGUUGAUUUGGCUGCGUUUACAUCAAUCAACUCAGAUCUUUUGCCAAUAAUUGGGAAAAUAUCUGAAUUAGGCUUCCUGUGUAAACAGUCUUUGUGCUGCAGUAUGUUUGUUGAUUAACAGGAGCAAAUACUGACUUGUGAAGAUUCGCAUUCCCAG